UACGUAGGCAGCAAGCGUUGUUCGGAGUUACUGGGCGUAAAGGGUGCGUAGGUGGCUCUAUAAGUAUGGUGUGAAAUCUCCCGGCUUAACUGGGAGGGUGCGCCGUAGACUGUGGGGCUAGAGUGUGGGAGAGGAAAGUGGAAUUCCUGGUGUAGCGGUGAAAUGCGUAGAGAUUAGGAAGAACACCAGUGGCGAAGGCGACUUACUGGACUGUAACUGACGCUGAGGCAUGAAAGCGUGGGGAGCAAACAGG
rnacentral:rRNA from 1 species